rnacentral:ribozyme from 1 species
CUCGCCGCACCGCCCAUGGCCGGCCUCCGCAACAAAGGGGCUACGGGCGCCAAAUCCCAGGGCG